AACGAACGCUGGCGGCAUGCCUAACACAUGCAAGUCGAACGAGACCUUCGGGUCUAGUGGCGCACGGGUGCGUAACGCGUGGGAACCUGCCCUUAGGUUCGCAAUAACUCCCCGAAAGGGGUGCUAAUACCGGAUAAUGUCUUCGGACCAAAGAUUUAUCGCCUUUGGAUGGGCCCGCGUUGGAUUAGCUAGUUGGUAGGGUAAAAGCCUACCAAGGCGACGAUCCAUAGCUGGUCUGAGAGGAUGAUCAGCCACACUGGGACUGAGACACGGCCCAGACUCCUACGGGAGGCAGCAGUGGAGAAUAUUGGACAAUGGGCGAAAGCCUGAUCCAGCAAUGCCGCGUGAGUGAUGAAGGCCUUAGGGUUGUAAAGCUCUUUUACCCGGGAUGAUAAUGACAGUACCGGGAGAAUAAGCUCCGGCUAACUCCGUG
rnacentral:rRNA from 1 species